CAAUAGCGUAUAUUAAAGUUGUUGCAGUUAAAAAGCUCAUAGUUGGAUUUCUGGUGGGAGCGAUCGGUCUGGCGCUUAGCGCGAGUACUUGCAUCGUCUCCGGCCAUCCUUGGGGAGAGUCUGUCUGGCAUUAGGUUGUCGGGCAGAGGAUCCUCAUCGUUUACUGUGAAAAAAUUAGAGUGUUCAAAGCAGGCUUAUGCCGUUGAAUAUAUUAGCAUGGAAUAAUAAGAUAGGACUUUGGUACUAUUUUGUUGGUUUGCGCACCAAAGUAAUGAUUAAUAGGGACAGUUGGGGGUAUUCGUAUUCCGUUGUCAGAGGUGAAAUUCUUGGAUUUACGGAAGACGAACUACCGCGAAAGCAUUUACCAAGGAUGUUUUCAUUAA
rnacentral:rRNA from 1 species